GAUGAACGCUGGCGGCGUGCCUAAUACAUGCAAGUCGAGCGAACAGACGAGGAGCUUGCUCCUCUGACGUUAGCGGCGGACGUGUGAGUAACACGUGGAUAACCUCCCUAUAAGACUGGGAUAACUUCGGGAAACCGGAGCUAAUCCCGGAUAAUAUCUUGAACCGCAUGGUUCAAUAGUGAAAGACGGUUUUGCUGUCACUUAUAGAUGGAUCCGCGCCGCAUUAGCUAGUUGUUAAGGUAACGGCUUACCAAGGCGACGAUGCGUAGCCGACCUGAGAGGGUGAUAGGCCACACUGGAACUGAGACACGGUCAAGACUCCUACGGGAGGCAGCAGUAGGGAAUCUGCCGCAAUGGGCGAAAGCAUGACGGAGCAACGCCGCGUGAGUGAUGAAGGUCUUCGGAUCGUAAAACUCUGUUAUUAGGGAAGAACAAAUGUGUAAGUAACUAUGCACGUCUUGACGGUACCUAAUCAGAAAGCCACGGCUAACUACGUG
rnacentral:rRNA from 1 species